rnacentral:rRNA from 1 species
GUGGGUAACCUGCCUUAUAGUGGGGGAUAGCCUUUCGAAAGGAAGAUUAAUACCGCAUAAGAUUGUAGUAUCGCAUGAUAUAGCAAUUAAAAGGAGCAAUCCGCUAUAAGAUGGACCCGCGUCGCAUUAGCUAGUUGGUGAGGUGAUGGCUCACCAAGGCGACGAUGCGUAGCCGACCUGAGAGGGUGAUCGGCCACAUUGGGACUGAGACACGGCCCAGACUCCUACGGGAGGCAGCAUG